GUGAACGCUGGCGGUAGGCCUAACACAUGCAAGUCGAACGGCAGCACAGUAAGAGCUUGCUCUUACGGGUGGCGAGUGGCGGACGGGUGAGGAAUACAUCGGAAUCUACUUUUUCGUGGGGGAUAACGUAGGGAAACUUACGCUAAUACCGCAUACGACCUACGGGUGAAAGUAGGGGAUCUUCGGACCUUGCGCGAUUGAAUGAGCCGAUGUCGGAUUAGCUAGUUGGCGGGGUAAAGGCCCACCAAGGCGACGAUCCGUAGCUGGUCUGAGAGGAUGAUCAGCCACACUGGAACUGAGACACGGUCCAGACUCCUACGGGAGGCAGCAGUGGGGAAUAUUGGACAAUGGGCGCAAGCCUGAUCCAGCCAUACCGCGUGGGUGAAGAAGGCCUUCGGGUUGUAAAGCCCUUUUGUUGGGAAAGAAAAGCAGCAGGUUAAUACCCCGCUGUUCUGACGGUACCCAAAGAAUAAGCACCGGCUAACUUCGUG
rnacentral:rRNA from 1 species